rnacentral:rRNA from 1 species
UUACCUAAACUAGAAUGUGAGGGAAUGCUGGGUAAUGCCAGCAGUCCGAGCAAUCGGACCCAAAACAAGGUGCUGCAUGGCUGUCGUCAGCUCGCGUCGUGAGAUGUUGGGUUAAGUCCCGCAACGAGCGCAACCCUUAUCAACAGUUGCCAUCAUUAAGUUGGGAACUCUGUUGAGACUGCCGUUGAUAAAACGGAGGAAGGUGGGGAUGAUGUCAAGUCAUCAUGGCCUUUAUGUUUAGGGCUACACACGUGCUACAAUGGUCGGUACAAAACGUCGCAAUCCCGCGAGGGGGAGCUAAUCGCUAAAACCGAUCUCAGUUCGGAUUGAAGUCUGCAACUCGACUUCAUGAAGUUGGAAUCGCUAGUAAUCGCAAAUCAGCAUGUUGCGGUGAAUACGUUCCCGGGUCUUGUACACACCGCCCGUCACAUCACGAAAGUAGGUUGUACUAGAAGUAGCUGGGCCAACUCGCAAGAGAGGCAGGUUACCACGGUAUGAUUUAUGAUUGGGGUGAAGUCGUAACAAGGUAGCC